rnacentral:tRNA from 1 species
CAAGGGGUAGUUUAAUUAGAAUAUCAGCUUUGGGUGCUGAUGGUGAGGCUUGUGUCUUCUCCUUGA